ensembl:lncRNA
GUGAGUGUGUGUGGGGAGCAGAGCAGGAGCGAAUGCACUAAAACUCGCACACAUGCGCAGGAACCAACAGAAACGGAGACAGCUUUUCAGCAGCGGCUAAGGGAUUACUCCUAUUUUCGUCUCCAUCCUUCCUAGGUGCCAGAGGAAUAUUGGAGACCCGAGAUGGAGUACAACAGGACACAGUGCGAGCUGUGAUUUCUUCAAGAGGGUUACAAACAUGAUCCCUCAAAGUGCAAGAUUCUUACUGAUUCUCAGUCUUACUUUGUUCAGCAGCCCACAUGCUGCAUACCUGACUGGAGAUGGAGGAGACCAAGCAUGGACACAGACAAGCCCUGUUAAAGAGCACAAAGAGGUCCAUCCUGCUGGCAGCUUACUGUGGAGCAGGCAGACAUCAAGAGCCAAUACGGACACCACUACUCCAUCAAUAACUACUCCACCAAAAACACAAAACUCUUGGCCACCUACUCAUGGUGAGACUGGCCAUUCAUCACUAACCACCUUAUUAGCAACACUGGGGUCAUCUCCCAAUCCAGCCUCCCAGGCCCAGAGCAAGGUAUUCAAAGCACCAGCAUAUACAACGUCUCCUGACCAAAGGAGACGUGAAAUGAGGCUUGGCGAUAUCUGGGUAAUGGGGGAGCCCAAAGCUACUGCUCAAAGAUCAGAUGACACAGGUUUGAAACAAAAGCAAACAGACCUAUUGACUACUCUACAGGAUGAUAGAAGAAUGGUAGAGGAGUUCACCAGGAGGCCACCUCACCUUGGUACCAAUUCCCCUAGAGACAUUUUGAAACUAGACUCUAUGCCCAAUCGGACAAGUCCUGGCUUGGACAAAGUGCAUGAAGUUCCAUAUGAGAAAAAAGAUAGUCGGAGUUCCUUAAAAGAGGAGACAUCCAGACCGACUCCAGGAUUGCGAGCACGCACUCUUAUUCCAGACAUGAUCGAGAACUUGCAGACGCCUUGGUGGAAGAGUGGAGUAACAUCUCACAGCAAGAACUGACCAAUCUGGUGCAGUCCAUAAGGAUAAGAUGCACUGUAGUACUUAAAGCAGCUGGAGGUCACCAGAUAUCCCCCCCCCCCCCCUUUUUGUUCAGGGACUAAUCAUUCCAUUUCUGUUCAUCAAAUGUCUAUGAAACUUGUUCAGUUUAUGUCUCAGUUGCUGACUGUUUUUAUGUUAAGAAAUUUAAAGCAGUUGAAUGUGAGAGGACAUCU